rnacentral:rRNA from 1 species
UACGUAGGGGGGCUAGCGUUGUCCGGAAUCAUUGGGCGUAAAGAGCGCGUAGGCGGCUAGAUAAGUCCGGUGUGAAAGUCACAGGCUCAACCUGUGGAUGCCGCUGGAAACUGUCUGGCUAGAGUCCGGAAGGGGCGAGUGGAAUUCCUGGUGUAGCGGUGAAAUGCGCAGAUAUCAGGAAGAACACCCGUGGCGAAGGCGGCUCUCUGGGACGUGACUGACGCUGAGACGCGAAAGCGUGGGGGAGCGAACAGG